rnacentral:rRNA from 1 species
UACGUGAGGGUGCAAGCGUUGUCCGGAAUUAUUGGGCGUAAAGAGCUCGUAGGCGGUUUGUCGCGUCUGCUGUGAAAACUCAGGGCUUAACCCUGAGCCUGCAGUGGGUACGGGCAGACUAGAGUGUGGUAGGGGAGAUCGGAAUUCCUGGUGUAGCGGUGGAAUGCGCAGAUAUCAGGAGGAACACCGGUGGCGAAGGCGGGAUCUCUGGGCCGUAACUGACGCUGAGGAGCGAAAGCGUGGGGAGCGAACAGG